UUCACUUAAGUUUUCUUUAUCAAAGUUUUGUUUUAGAAAAUAUUAGAUGGAGGAUAAUGUAAACAAAAUAACCAAAGUUAUAGUGGUUGUUCCUCACUAACCAAUAACAUGGCAGUCACGAUCCUUUCAACAAAGCCAAAAGAACAAAUCUCAUGGAAAUUGUUUAAAAAAAUAAAAAGAAUGAGACACGAAAAAUUGAAAAAAAAGAGAAAAGCAAA
rnacentral:lncRNA from 1 species